rnacentral:tRNA from 1 species
UCUAGGACAUCAGGUUUUCAUCCUGAGAACAGGGGUUCGAAUCCCCUUGGGGUCA